rnacentral:pre_miRNA from 1 species
UUGUAAAUAUAAUCGAUGUAGAAAAGUGAUUGGUGACAUUGAUUAUAACCAGAAUCAAUGUAGAAAAUUAUUUUUCUACAUCAAUUUUAAUUAUAA